UAGGGAAUCUUCCACAAUGGACGCAAGUCUGAUGGAGCAACGCCGCGUGAGUGAAGAAGGUUUUCGGACCGUAAAGCUCUGUUGUUGGUGAAGAAGGAUAGAGGUAGUAACUGGCCUUUAUUUGACGGUAAUCAACCAGAAAGUCACGGCUAACUACGUGCCAGCAGCCGCGGUAAUACGUAGGUGGCAAGCGUUGUCCGGAUUUAUUGGGCGUAAAGCGAGCGCGGGCGGAAGAAUAAGUCUGAUGUGAAAGCCCUCGGCUUAACCGAGGAAUUGCAUCGGAAACUGUUCUUCUUGAGUGCAGAAGAGGAGAGUAGAACUCCAUGUGUAGCGGUGGAAUGCGUAGAUAUAUGGAAGAAUACCAGUGGCGAAGGCGGCUCUCUGGUCUGCAACUGACGCUGAGGCUCGAAAGCAUGGGUAGCGAACAGGAUUAGAUACCCUUGGUAGUCCAUGCCGUAAACGAUGAGUGCUAAGUGUUGGGAGGCUUCCGCCUCUCAGUGCUGCAGCUAACGCAUUAAGCACUCCGCCUGGGGGAGUACGACCGCAAGGUUGAAAC
rnacentral:rRNA from 1 species